rnacentral:lncRNA from 1 species
GCUUCUGAGGGCUCCCUGGCCUGGGAGAGUUUGAGCAGAAGUGUAAGUUUGGGUCUACAGAGCUCUCGAUGUCCUGACCCUUCACUCCUGUAGGAUUUGGGCUAGCCCCUUCUGAAGGAACAGGGACCCCUUUAGUGGGCACAGGCUGUGGUCAUAUUUCUUUUCUCUUUUUCUUUUCUAAUGUUUUUGAGGUAGCCUAGGCUGACCUCUGAGGAUAGCCCAAGUGCUGACACUUCAGGUGUGUGACACCAUGCCUGGCUACCGUCACAUUUUGUCACAUGCCUUUUGCCUGUACUUACUGACUGGAGAGCUGUUUAUUCAUGCUUUGCCCAUGUCAAAACUGGAUAACUGAUUCUUCUCUUUCACCUACAAGUUAGACCAGGAUGGGCAUUUUCAUGAGCCUAUUGCCUAGGGAGGUUUGUAAAUGAUAGACACAGGCAAGGCGGGGCCAGAGGAGGCUGAGGUGAAAAUCCAAGGAAAAAUCCAAGAGUCAGUCAGAUGGCAAAGAACUGAAGAAAUACUGGACCAUUGGAGGGUUCCCAGUGGGAAAGUGCGAACUUCAGGACGGGCCGUGUGGAGACUUCUGGGGCUGAGACGUGACUAACACAUUUCCAUGCUGAAGGAUGUGGUGGACUGGCAAGGGACUAGAAUAAGAGAUGACGUCAGGGGAGGAGAACUCCUCGCUGGGUGUGAAGCGGAGAAAAUCAAGAACCGGUUGUAACUUGUUCCUCAGCAGCCCCAACUCUGAUAAGGGCCAACCAGGAGCUGACACAUCCGGGGUGGAGAUGCUCCCCAGGAAGGAGGGACGCCUGUGGUGACAAAGUCUGUUUAAGAGGAACAGGGGCCUCGUGGGUCAGUUGCAUAACCUGGAGCUUCAAGCUCUGCCUCACUUGGCGCAGAGCCUCGGUUUACAGACACUGUUCUUCCACGUGAUUUGAAUGGAAGCAGGAGAGAGCAUGUCCCUGGUGCCUGGGCUUCGGGUGCCCUCUUGUGGCGGAAUAUUGGUUUUGAGUUUUCAGUUUCUCCUUCCCUCUCUGGAAUCUUACCGUCUUCAAGGUCAUUGUUGUUAAAAUGGAAAGGCAAAGGGCUUGGGGGUGUAACUCAAUGGAAAAGAAUGUGAGUCUCUGGGUUCAGUCCUCUGAACCAGGUCUCUCAGGGCUUAGCUUUGUCUGCAGGGUGGUCAAAGUCUGAGGGUGACAUCCCUAACAUGGAGGAGAGGCCACCGAUGGGGGCAGAGCCCUUGGUCUAAAAGACACCUGUCUGUAAUGCGCUCAGAAGAACUGACCAGGGCCCUACUCGAUCUUCCUUCCGGUCUCUUCUAGCCUAGACUCUAGGCCCGUGGUUCUUAGGGUGGGUUUUUGUUGGGGGAAGGCAGAGGUCAGGGGUCCUUUUGAGCAGCUUAAGACUGAUGUUGGGGUUUUGUUUAGAAAAUUACACAACGGAACACUGCCGCUUAGGGUUUGGGGAAGCUAGUGGUCUCUGGGGACCAGAACCCAUAUGUUUUUUGGUUUCGUUUUUGUUUGUUUUGUUUUUCAAGUCAGGGUUCCUGAUUGUCCUGGAACUCACUCUGUAGACCAGAGUCUGGUCUAGAACUCAGUGAUCCGCCUGCCUCUGCCUCCUGAGUGCUGGAUUAAAGGCAUGAGACACUACCACCCGACUAUAAACUCACAGUUUGACAUCUCCCGUUCUAGGUCUCUGCUCCUGUCAGUUUCUCAGUGUCUGAUGCUCUCUGAGGCAGAUCAGACAUGUUUCGCACUGGUUCCCUAGAGAGGGAGGAAGGACAGGUGUGUGUGUGUGUGUGUGUGUGUGUGUGUCUUUGUGUGUGUGUGUGUGUGUCUUCUUAUGAGAUAAGCAGUAUCCCACAGAGAUGUGUAAAGAGGGCCCUGUAUUGAGAAAGUGAGGUCCCUUUUAUGAAAAUACCCGAGAAAGACAGAGACAAGUGCUUUAUAAUCUUAAGGUCGAGAAUGUCUCCACGGUGCCGGGUCUGAGGGAUCUGACUGAGAUGAAAGUCCCCCCCCCACCCACCCCGCAACACAGAGCCUCUUAAACUCCAUUUUAGAUAGCUCUCAGAUGGCUUGAAAUGCCUGUGACAGUUUACAGAGGCAAAGCGAAGCAUUUCACAUAUUCUCACCAGCCAGGUUGACUUGCUUCUAGCAGAAAACGUAAGCAACAGAUUGAUCUCUGUCCCUUUAACACACCUUGAAAGGGGUUUCCUGGGAUGGAGAGUUGGCUCAGUGAUUAAGAGCACUGGCUGCUCUUUCCAGAGGACUGGGGUUCAAUUCCCAGUAACCACGUGGCAGCCCACCACUGUCUGUAACUCCAGGCAUUUUCACCCCCCUUCCCCACUCCCCCGUUCCAGGCAAUCUGAUACCCACACACAGACAGACAUGCAGACAAGAUACCAAUACACAUAACACAAACAUUUAAAAAAAAUGACUAAAGGGAUUUCCUUUUGGUCAAGUACUGUACUAUUCAAGAACUCAAUAAAUGCUUACAUAAUAAAUAUCAAAAGGGAGAUUUUUAGAGUUGGAGGCCCCUACUCUGUUACCUCUGUUUUAAGGAAAGCAACAUAAGAGCCAGAGAGCUAAAUAGCAUUCAUUGAUUCAUUGAUUCAUUGAUUCAUUCAUUCACUCACUCAGGUUUAGUCAUCGGUUCCUGUGUGUGAGGGGUUGGUGUUUGUAUGUGGAAGCUGAGGAGGACUCGGACUGGAACUUUCUGUCUCUGCCUCUGAGCUCUGGGAUCACAGCUGUCAACCACCACACUCGGUUUACCUCGUGAGCUCUAGAGAAGCACCCUGCCAACUAUGGUGCAUGCUACCCCUUGAAAUUCUCUUUCCUGUUCUAUUAAGUGACAGGUAGCUAGGAUGGACGGAUAUGCUAAAUUUAUCCCUUUCUAGUAAAACAUGAUGUUUUAUGGAAAAGUACAAAAAUACAAGUAUUAAUGAAUUAAAGA